GGACGCAAAAAAGGUGGGGCAAACUAUAGACUGACUGCAGAGAAGCUCGCUGUAGGCCGGGGGGUCUGAGUCGCGCGCCGGCGACGAGCCUCGAGCACGGUGCUCAAACGGUGGCUGGGCGGCGCCGGCGCCGGCGCUGAUCGUGAACUGUAAUUUGGAUUUGGGAGAUUAGGGUUUCUGGUUAGAGAAAGGAGCAGGAAGAAGAAGAAGAUAGAGAAAGAAGUCAUUAUCUAAUGGUCAACCCUCCGAGACGACAAAACUUUGCAGUUCGAUGAUCAAUUUUCAGGGAAGAUAACCGACACUUCAUCUUCAUAGGCUAAGAUUGCUGCUUCCAAUCUAACAUUUGAAGUAGAUAAGGUGCCGUUUGGAAGCUGUAUUCUGAAUCCUGAUUCUGGGUCACGUGGGAGAAUCCGCGUUUGGAGGCCCAAAAUCACGGAACUGGCCCAGAAUCAAAUUGUACUUUUGGGAUCACUUUGAAUCUUGAUUUCAAAAUCAAGGAGGGCCUGAUUCAGCCCGUUCCCAAAUCAUGUGAACAGUGCUCCCCCCGAGUAAUGACCCCCACCCACUCCUGACCCCAUCCACUCCUGCCGACCAUUUUUCCCUUGGCCAGAGAAUCUCUCUAGCUUUCUCCAUGCGUUUCACGCGUGAGUUUGCAGAGCAUCUCCAGCUUUUCCAGUUUUUCUCCUCUCUUUUCUUUCGGUUUCCACUCCUCUUCCCGGUGGACUCCUCUUUGCAUAAGCAGCCCAACCCGCGGCGGACUCCUCUUCUGGAGUUGAUGAGAAAUGCUUCAAGUGCUCGAGUGAUUGUGAACAAUCGACGGAAGCUCCACAUUUGGUACCAAUUUCGCCGAUACUACCAAGGUAAGGCCAUUUAUCGCCUUCACCGGAGAGGAAACAGACGGGGAAUUUACAAAAGUCCUUCAUCUGUGUUUGGAGCUCUGCAGGCGGUGUCCUUCAUCUCCUCGUCGGACUCGAACUUGGUAAGGAUGCCUAGGAAAAAACCCAAAUGAGAGGCCGUUAUAUUGGAGUCCCGCUGCAGAGGCAUUUCUACUUGAGCGACUAUACGAAUACAAUGACAUAAACCACAGGAAGCUACCAAAUGGGCUGCUCGGAUGGCCACUUUUUUCGAUGGAUAUGUACCUGGCGGUGAGCGGCUGAGGGAGAAACGCCACCGACUUGGCAACCUUUACUCAACGUAUAAGACACUGCAAAACCAUAUAGGAGUAGGGUGGGAUCCUAAUUAGUAAAACUUUCACAUGCUCGGAGGAACUGCGGACAUCUCUUUGCAAGGAUGCAACCCGAAAAUGAGGAACGUGAUAGAACGACGUCUUCAAGGCCGAAUGGAGAUUUAUGGCCGUAAUAAGUGAAGCCAUGGCUGCAGCCGCUUAUUUGUCUAGUGACAGAGUAAGAAGGCCGAUGCACAAUUCUUCUUUAAGGGGCAUGGACAAGGUAAAUGAGCUAUUAGCAAACAGUAAUGAGACUGCAAUGUUUAACAAAGUGCGUAUGGGACCACGUGAUUAUAUGAUUCUAUGUGAAAUGCUAACUGAGAAAGGUUUGCUACGACCCUCAUACUACAUGAGCAUACCUGAAUAAUUAUUUGUGUUCUUAACAAUCGUUUCACAAAGCCAAAGUAAUCGUGAAUCACAAGACGCAUGGCAACAUUCAGGGGAGACCAUAUCACGCAGGUUUAAUGAAGUUUUAGAUGCUAUUUGUGCUCUACAUGAUGAUUUCAUUAAGCCCCCAAAUUAUGACAAAGUGCCUGAAUUUCUACGCGCCAACCGUCAGAGAUAUAGUACAUGGUUUGACGAUUGUGUAGGCGCAAUUGACGGUACUCAUGUACCUUGUACACCAAUUGGUGUUCAUAAUCCAGCAGGGUGUGAACUCUCAGACCAUAUUGGCAGCCUAUUCAUUUGAUAUGAAGUUCACAUACAUAUUAUCCGGUUGGGAAGGUUCAACCCACGACGCUCGAGGGCUCGCGGAUGCGCUUGAGAAUCCUAGGUUUCAGUUCCCACGUCCCUCACCAGGUUACACUUAUGUCUAUUUAUUAUUAUGGAUCUUCAAUUUGCAGCCUAAUUUGGAUAUGUUGCACAGGAAAAUACUAUAUUGUUGAUGCAGCGUAUGCGAACAAUGAUUGUUUUCGCGCUCCGUACAGAGGUGAGACUUACCAUUUGCCUGAUUAUAGAAUGAGAAAUGGUGGAUUUCAGGAACCUAGGGAUAUUUUUAACUACAAACACUCAUCAUUGAGAAAUUGUAUAGAGCGAACAUUUGGGGUUUGAAAGGUUAGGUUUCUUAUCCUAAGGCGGCCUAAUAAUACAUAUCCAAUGAAUAAACAAUUGAAAAUUCCAGUUGCCUGUGCAAUACUACAUAAUUUCAUUCACAUGGUUAAUGAGGGGGAUCCGCUUCUAAGUCAAUACCACCGUGAUGGUGUACCUGUAAGUGAAAUAGAUCCAAAUAAUGAUGAUGAAUUUGAUGACGAUGCCAAUGAGGGCAAUGUUCCUGAAGGCUCAGUUGUAACAACAGGUAGUGUUAGUCGUACAGGUAUGGGUCGUUUUAGGGAUCGCCCUGCGAAUGAAAUGUUGGUAGAAUAUCAGGAAAGUCGUCGUACACAAGUUUGAAAGUAUAUAACAGCAAUGAGAUUCUACCUCUAUUACUUCAUAAUUCGUUUAUUCAUUAUAGUUGCAAAAAAAAUUUUGACGUUCGUAACGCACAUUUGUAUCAUGUGAAUUAAUUUCUCUUUUCAACUCGAAUGCUUGUUAUUUGCCUU